AGUCAUCUUAAUACCAAUGAUGAGAGCCACUGCUGAGGCAGAAGAAAGGGGAACCUUCAGGGGCUCAUGGCUGCACAAAGAUAAUGAGGAAGGAGGAAGUUCCUAGGAGAUGAGACUGUCUCAUGAUGUCAGAACUAAAUGGUAGUAGCCCGGUCCCUUCUGGUCAUGUGCCACCUGAACACGCUACAAAAGGAGAAGCCAAUUGGAGAGAGUUCAUUUCACUUCCGCUUUUUGGGACAUUGUUUUGAGUGAAAUAAACUACUUCAGCACAUAAAGUUGGGUGAGAGCAGCAGUAGAGACACAGGAAAUGUGUUCAACAAGGUGUUAACAGUGCAGCACAGUGAUGCCGGCCCAUAUUGACUCCAUAAUAUCCCAUUGCUUUUAAAAAAUGAACUGGACACUUGAUUUGCUUGAGAUCAGGUAAAUAAGGAUGGAAUCUUAUUAUUAUGACUUCUCUGCCAUUAUACUGAACAGUUCAUGGACUUUGUGAGUAAAAGGUGAAGAAUCCACCUAUAGAAGCAUAUGGCUGCAUUAAAAAGUUUUUUAUUUGACAUUGUUACUUUUAUUUUACCAUAAUAUUAUUAUUUUUUUUAGCUUAUGGUGAAGCCAUUUAGUAGCUCCAUUGCACAUUCCAAGCAAGAUUAUUUGAGGCGUAACCCCAGAAUAUGUCAGUACUGUCAUAAUCCGUACAACUGUAUACGCACUGUCGUACGCACUGUCCCACUUUGUGAAUAAGUAAAAAAAGCUCUGUGAAUGUUCUUGUAUGAAUUCCAUCCACUGCGCCACCAUGCCGCCUCUUAUAUGAAUUGUGGUUUAGAAAUCUGCUUGUCUUAUGACUUUGAUUCCCUUCAUCUGUUUGGUUUUUUGGGUGCUAUUGAUUUCCUAGGAGAUUGUUGCAGGUUUACUUCAUGGUCCUUCUCUCCUUCUCUCUGUUCACCUUGUGAUGUCAUCAAGUAUGUGAAGUCUUUCAGUCAGAUUUUCAAGCCAUCCACAGUGCUCAGUCUGCCUUGGUCAGAGUUGUCAGUGAUCUUCUGAUCGCCGCAGAUUCUGGGGUUUUGCAGUCUCCUUGUCUUGAUUAUCCUGACUGCUAUGUUUGAUUCUGCUGACGAUGAUGUUCUACUGCACCAUUUGAGAGACACUAGAGCCUCUGGUAUGGCAGUGGAGUGGUUCAAUUAUUAUCUUGCUGAUGUUACAAUGUAGUCAUCAAUAAAAAAUGUGUUGACCAUUUAAUAAACUUU